CCUGGGACCAUGGGACUUUAAUUUAGAUGAGAAUGCCAGGAAUUAGAGCACUGAAGAAUCUUUCCCAUUGUAUGCAGACAGUGUCACUGCUGCUGCUAAUGCGGUGCUAACCAGAUGCACCAUGGAUUUACUUAGGAUGUCCAUACUCCAUAAGAACACCGGAUAUGACGGUUUGAAGGACGCCUUCACUUACAUGAUUCCUCACUUUUGGGGACAAGACAGACAUGGUGAGUGGGACGAUACACUGUGGAGGGGAAACAGACUCAUGCCAAGGCAUGACAGCUGGUCCAGAGAUGUCUUCAAGGUGUCUCCUGAGAGCAUCACCCAGAGUCUCAGGAGAGCUUUGCAAGCAGCAUCCUCCUGAAGGAGACGUCAAAGGCGGUGCUCGUGAGGGUAACGAAAUGACUGAAUCCAAGCCAGCUUCAAGAGCAUGCAUCCUGGAGAAGUUCCAAAGUGAAGACUAUGUGACAAUUUAAAGUAUGUUUUUGAAUUGGAAAA